UAGAGUUGUGACGUUCGCGAACGAACCGAUUCUUUUGAACGGCUCAUAAACAUGAACGAUGGGAGCCGAGUCGCGGCUGGAGGGGAGCCGUUCUUUCUGUCGUUCUUUUUUCCUAUGCGUGUUUCACACAGAUGCACACAAGCCAACCCUUUAUAGCGUGAUGAUAUUAGUUAUUAGUUGUGCACGCAUCCUUCACGUGAGUACUCCAGUGGAAAAAAACCCUGCGUGCCUCUGUCAUUGGGUAGGAGCGGAGCUAUGACGUGUUAUUGUUCAUUGACUUGAAGGGGCUGAUGUCCUAUUUGCAAAGUUUACAGUAGUAAUAGUAUGUAGUAUGUAGACAUUUCCAUUUUAUUUAUUCUAAUUUUAUCUACUUUAAAUAUUUUUUGUUUUCUAUCAAAAUGUUCUUAUGUGAUAACAAUGUUCUUGUGUGGAAGUGUUUGUAGUAAAAGCUGUUUUGCACAGAAAUUUAUUGCAGCCGGCUUUGUUUUUGAUGUUUAUUUGUGAGUAGGUAUUGUAUGAAUAACAUAAGUCAACGUAGCUUUAUACACACACACACACACACACACACACACACACACACACACACACACACACUUUGUACUAAAGGUAAAUCCAAAAUAGUGAUGUCACUGUCUAAGCAGAGGGAUUUGUGCAACCCUAUUGGAAUAUAGUCCACACAUGACAAAUGAGGUAAUAAUCAAUAUUUCAGAAUAAUUCAAACUCAGAUAUUGGUGUGCGAUAUCUGAGUUUUAAUUAAAUUGACUACAAAUCUCACCUCAUCAUUCCUCCCAGUGAUUAUUUCCAGGAUAAACUGAGAUGCCCCCAAGCUGGCUUCUUAAAACUGACUAAAUAUUUAAAAAGAGCCAAAAGAGCCGUUCUUUUGAACAGCUCUUUGAAAGGAACGGAUCGCGAAGAUCCGGAUCCCCUCAAAGAGCCAUAAAUCCCAUCACAGGUAUCGUCGUCCGUAAGAUGCCGAGAGCCACUGAAAAACUACAGAAAAGUAAAAUUACUUCACUUUAGCAUUACUGGCCACGUACGUGUCCUAAAAAAUGUGUCUGUAGUGAGACAAACGAACAGAGCACGAGCGUAAUCCUGUGACAGUCAAAGGCGGUAAACAGUGGAGUGGUUGAAGGAGAGAUGUGAGGCAUGAACACUGUUCAAGGUCUCCAUUAAUCCUGCUUGUAAUUUAAACUGUAAAAUCCAAUAGUUUACCUUACUUAGAUUUAAUUAGUUAUCUUUACUUAGUUGUUAUACUUACUAGGUUUUAUUAAGUUUCAGCUACUUUCAAGACAAAUAAAACAAUUUACUGUUUUGAGUGACA
ensembl:lncRNA